rnacentral:rRNA from 1 species
UACGUAGGGGGCUAGCGUUGUCCGGAUUUAUUGGGCGUAAAGAGCUCGUAGGCGGUUCGGUAAGUCGGCUGUGAAAUCUCCACGCUCAACGUGGAGGGGUCAGUCGAUACUGCCGUGACUAGAGUCCGGUAGGGGAGUGUGGAAUUCCCGGUGUAGCGGUGAAAUGCGCAGAGAUCGGGAGGAACACCCGUAGCGAAGGCGGCACUCUGGGCCGGUACUGACGCUGAGGAGCGAAAGCGUGGGGAGCAAACAGG